AUUGAACGCUGGCGGCAGGCCUAACACAUGCAAGUCGAACGGUAACAGGAAGCAGCUUGCUGCUUUGCUGACGAGUGGCGGACGGGUGAGUAAUGUCUGGGAAACUGCCCGAUGGAGGGGGAUAACUACUGGAAACGGUAGCUAAUACCGCAUAACAUCGCAAGACCAAAGAGGGGGACCUUAGGGCCUCUUGCCAUCGGAUGUGCCCAGUUGGGAUUAGCUAGUAGGUGGGGUAACGGCUCACCUAGGCGACGAUCCCUAGCUGGUCUGAGAGGAUGACCAGCCACACUGGAACUGAGACACGGUCCAGACUCCUACGGGAGGCAGCAGUGGGGAAUAUUGCACAAUGGGCGCAAGCCUGAUGCAGCCAUGCCGCGUGUAUGAAGAAGGCCUUCGGGUUGUAAAGUACUUUCAGCGGGGAGGAAGGGAGUAAAGUUAAUACCUUUGCUCAUUGACGUUACCCGCAGAAGAAGCACCGGCUAACUCCGUG
rnacentral:rRNA from 1 species